AAUCAACGCUGGCGGCGUGCCUCAGACAUGCAAGUCGAACGAUUAAACUUCCCUUCGGGGAAGAUAUAAAGUGGCGCACGGGUGAGUAACACGUAGGUAAUCUACCUUUGAGUGGGGAAUAACGUUCGGAAACGGACGCUAAUACCGCAUAAUGCAGCGGCAUCUAUGAUGACAGUUGUUAAAGGAGCAAUCCGCUUAAAGAGGAGCCUGCGGCAGAUUAGCUAGUUGGUAAGGUAACGGCUUACCAAGGCGACGAUCUGUAUCCGACCUGAGAGGG
rnacentral:rRNA from 1 species